rnacentral:rRNA from 1 species
GAGGAACGCUGGCGGCGUGCCUAAUACAUGCAAGUUGAGCGCUGAAGGUUGGUACUUGUACCAACUGGAUGAGCAGCGAACGGGUGAGUAACGCGUGGGGAAUCUGCCUUUGAGCGGGGGACAACAUUUGGAAACGAAUGCUAAUACCGCAUAAAAACUUUAAACACAAGUUUUAAGUUUGAAAGAUGCAAUUGCAUCACUCAAAGAUGAUCCCGCGUUGUAUUAGCUAGUUGGUGAGGUAAAGGCUCACCAAGGCGAUGAUACAUAGCCGACCUGAGAGGGUGAUCGGCCACAUUGGGACUGAGACACGGCCCAAACUCCUACGGGAGGCAGCAGUAGGGAAUCUUCGGCAAUGGACGAAAGUCUGACCGAGCAACGCCGCGUGAGUGAAGAAGGUUUUCGGAUCGUAAAACUCUGUUGGUAGAGAAGAACGUUGGUGAGAGUGGAAAGCUCAUCAAGUGACGGUAACUACCCAGAAAGGGACGGCUAACUACGUG